rnacentral:rRNA from 1 species
AACCAACAGGGAUUGCCUUAGUAGCGGCGAGUGAACAGGCAAAAGCUCAGAUUUGAAAGCCUUCGGGCAUUGUAUUCUGAAGCCUUGGUCCUGAGAAUUUGUACUCAAGUCUUCUGGAAAGGAGCGCCAUAGAGGGUGACAGCCCCGUACAGUACUACUCUCAUUUUAGGUCCUUGGCAUGGAGUCGAGUUGUUUGGGAAUGCAGCUCAAAUGGGUGGUAUGCUCCAUCUAAAGCUAAAUAUCUGCGAGAGACCGAUAGCGAACAAGUACUGUGAAGGAAAGAUGAAAAGAACUUUGAAAAGAGAGUGAAAUAGUAUGUGAAAUUGUUGAAAUGGAAGGGUAGGCCGCUAACCACGUAGAGUCGUGUCUGGGGGGAAGAUAAACGCUGAAGAAUGUAACUCCUUUGGAGUAUUAUAGCUUCAGUUCAUAUUCCCAUCCGGGCGCGAGGACCUAAGACUCUGCUAAAUGGUGGUCUACCACCCGUCUUGAACCACGGACCA